rnacentral:rRNA from 1 species
UCAAAAACAUGUCUUUUUGGUAAUAAUUUAAAGUCUAAUCUGCCCACUGAUAUUAAAUUAAAGGGCUGCAGUAUAUUGACUGUACAAAGGUAGCAUAAUCAUUAGUCUAUUAAUUGUAGACUUGUAUGAAAGAUUUGAUGAAAUAUAAACUGUCUCUAAUUUAUAUGUAGAAAUUAAUUUUUUAGUUAAAAAGCUAAAAUAAUAAUGAAAGACGAGAAGACCCUAUAAAGUUUUAUAGUUUAUUUAUUAAUUUAUUAUUUAUAAAAUUAAGUAUAAUGAAUAUUUAAAUUAUUUUAUUGGGGUGAUAAAAAAAUUAAUUAAACUUUUUUAUAAAAUUAACAUAAAUAAGUGAAAUUAUGAUCCAUUAUUAAUGAUUAAAAGAAGAAAUUACUUUAGGGAUAACAGCGUAAUAUUUUUUUUUAGUUCAGAUAAAAAAAAAAGUUUGCGACCUCGAUUUUGGAUUAAGAUAAAAUUUAAAUGCAAAACUUUAAAAUUUUGAUCUGUUCCAUCAUUAAAAUCUUACAUGAUCUGAGCU